UCCCUAGUGGCUCAGUCGGUAAAGAAUCUGCCUGCAAUGCGGGAGACCCAGGUUCGAUCUCUGGGUUGGGAA
rnacentral:tRNA from 1 species